rnacentral:tRNA from 1 species
GAGAAGAUGGCUGAAUUAUAAGCGAAACACUGUAAAUGUUUACAUGGGAUUACCCUCUUGUCA